AAGGAAAGCUGGCGGCAGGCCUAACACAUGCGAGUCGAGCGGAUGAAGGGAGCUUGCUCCUGGCUUCAGCGGCGGACGGGUGAGUAAUGCCUAGGAAUCUGCCUGGUAGUGGGGGAUAACGUCCGUAAACGGGCGCUAAUACCGCAUACGUCCUGAUGGUGAACGUGGGGGAUCUUCGGACCUCACGCUAUCAGAUGAGCCUAGGUCGGAUUAGCUAGUUGGUGGGGUAAAGGCCUACCAAGGCGACGAUCCGUAACUGGUCUGAGAGGAUGAUCAGUCACACUGGAACUGAGACACGGUCCAGACUCCUACGGGAGGCAGCAGUGGGGAAUAUUGGACAAUGGGCGAAAGCCUGACCCAGCCAUGCCGCGUGUGUGAAGAAGGUCUUCGGAUCGUAAAGCACUUUUAGUUGGGAGGAACGGCAGUAAGUUAAUAUCUUGCUGUCUUGACGUUACCAACAGAGUAAGCCCCGGCUAACUUCGUG
rnacentral:rRNA from 1 species